UACGAAGGGGGCUAGCGUUGCUCGGAAUUACUGGGCGUAAAGGGCGCGUAGGCGGAUAUUUAAGUCGGGGGUGAAAGCCCAGGGCUCAACCCUGGAAUAGCCUUCGAUACUCGAUAUCUUGAGUUCGGGAGAGGUGAGUGGAACUCCGAGUGUAGAGGUGAAAUUCGUAGAUAUUCGGAAGAACACCAGUGGCGAAGGCGACUCACUGGCCCGAUACUGACGCUGAAGCGCGAAAGCGUGGGGAGCAAACAGG
rnacentral:rRNA from 1 species